rnacentral:rRNA from 1 species
GAUGAACGCUGACAGAAUGCUUAACACAUGCAAGUCAACUUGAAUUUGGGUUUUUUAACUUAGAUUUGGGUGGCGGACGGGUGAGUAACGCGUAAAGAACUUGCCUCACAGCUAGGGACAACAUUUGGAAACGAAUGCUAAUACCUGCUAUUAUGAUUAUAAGGCAUCUUAGACUUAUGAAAGCUAUAUGCGCUGUGAGAGAGCUUUGCGUCCCAUUAGCUAGUUGGAGAGGUAACGGCUCACCAAGGCGAUGAUGGGUAGCCGGCCUGGGAGGGUGAACGGCCACAAGGGGACUGAGACACGGCCCUUACUCCUACGGGAGGCAGCAGUGGGGAAUAUUGGACAGUGGACCAAGAGUCUGAUCCAGCAAUUCUGUGUGCACGAUGACGUUUUUCGGAAUGUAAAGUGCUUUCAGUUGGGAAGAAAAAAAUGACGGUACCAACAGAAGAAGUGACGGCUAAAUACGUG